AGGAGAGAGAGAGAGAGGGAGUGGGUAAGAGUGAGCGAGAGACAGGAGGACAGAGGGAGGAGAGAGAGAGAGAGAGAGAGAGAGAGAGUGAGAGGGGGACAGAGAGAGAGGGAGAGGGAGUGGGUAAGAGUGAGCGAGAGACAGAAGGACAGAGGGAGGAGAGAGAGAAAGGAGUGGGUAACAGCCUGGGUACACUGUAGAUCUUGCAGCAGUGGCAGUGUAGCAUGUUUCCAGCUGUGGCAUUACUUUAAUCCCAGAGGACCUUGUUGAACAACAUUGGAGUUUCCUGACAUUUGUCUUCCUCUUCCCAUGUUUCUUUUGUUUUACAUUUUCUCUUGGAUUUCAAAAACAAACUCAAACUGCACUUUAUUUUGUUCAACAAGUACUCUCGAUUUUUUGGAUGUAUCUGUCAAGUAGGCAUGUCCUCCUCAGACCUCAAUGGAUCCUCGCGUACGCCUCGCUGGCUACUCUGGAAGCUAAAGGAAAAGGUAGACAUGAGGUACUGAUGGGGUCCGAGUACACUAGUAGGGCUUCAAUCAUUUGAGGUACUGGUAAAAAGUAUUUCAGCAGAACGAAUACCUUAUUUUUGUAAUAGGUUUGACUUAUUACUUCCCCUCCCCGCGAAAUAUAAUGCAAAUUAUGGAAUGGGACACAUAGCCAAGUAUCUUUGACUCUGCUGAACCACGCUCAACACGGCCCUGAGUAACCAUGGACUACGACAACAACAUGAGCAUCGCUGCCACCUCAGACCCAUUCAUCAACAACCACAGCAGCGUCGGCGCGGUCCUGCUGGGCCCCAACAGGACCGAGCCCUACCACCCGGCGGCCGACUUCUGGACCUACCCUGUCCUGGCGCUCAUCAUCCUCACAAUCGUGGUGGGCAACCUGCUAGUCAUCAUCGCCAUCGCACGCACGUCGCAGCUCCAGACCAUAACCAACAUCUUCAUCAUGUCGCUGGCCUGCGCCGACCUCAUCAUGGGCGUGCUGGUUGUGCCGCUGGGAGCCACCAUCGUGGUGACAGGCGACUGGAAGCUGGGCGACACCCUCUGCGAGCUUUGGACGUCCCUGGAUGUGCUCUGCGUGACGGCCAGCAUCGAGACGCUGUGCGUGAUCGCUGUGGACCGCUACCUUGCCAUCACUCGGCCGCUGCGGCACAAGGUGUUGAUUAACAAGCUGCGGGCGCGGCUCAUCGUCUGCCUGGUGUGGGCCGUGUCUGCGCUCAUCUCCUUUGUACCCAUCAUGAACCAGUACUGGCGGGCAGACGACUUCCCCGAGGCGGUCAAGUGCUACAACAACACGGCGUGCUGCGACUUUGUGACCAACCGCACCUUCGCCAUCACCUCCUCAGUGGUGUCCUUCUACGUGCCGCUGCUCAUCAUGAUCUUCGUCUACGCCAAGGUGUUCCUGAUUGCCACGCGGCAGGUGCAGAUGAUCGACAAGGACCGCCAGCGUUUCCAGGGCGACUGCCCGUCCUCGCAACUCGGCCAGCACCUCACCAGCAUCCUGCCUUCUGUGUGCCCGCUGGGCACAUGCAACUGCGGCAGCAACAGGAACGGCGUGGCACGCCGGAAGGGCAGCAGGCGGAGGCCGUCGCGGCUGAUGCUGGUCAAGGAACACAAAGCCCUGAAGACCUUGGGCAUCAUCAUGGGCACCUUCACCCUAUGCUGGCUGCCCUUCUUCGUGGCCAACAUCAUCAACGUCUUUGACAGGGAGGUGCCCUCGGAGUGGGAGUUCCGCCUGUUAAACUGGCUGGGCUACGUGAACUCCGGCCUGAACCCCAUCAUCUACUGUCGGAGCCCCGAGUUCCGCACAGUUUUUAAGAAUCUGCUGGGAUGCCCUUGGCUGACCCCACAGAGGUUUAAUGCUUUUUAUAAAGAACUGCGCACUCUCUGCAGCUGUGUGCCCAGGCAGGGUGAGUCUGGCACAGCGGGUGCUCUCACUAAAGCUACCGUGACAGACAGGAACGAGAGCCUGAGCAGCAACAGAAGUGAGGCUUCUUCCUCUGGGAUUCAGCACUCCAACAACAGCGGCCAGUCCAGCGACCAGUCCAGAACAGAAACAGAACUGUAAGUGUGACAUUGACGCGUUCGCCUUCUGCACUCAACUUGUUUGACUAAGUCAAUGUUCUUUUAUUCUGAAACAAAGAAAUUUGGGUCAUCGCACAGAUUUACAAAAUAAUGAUGUCUGAAGCCUCAUAAUUUCAGCAUUAUUUUAGUUCAAUUUCCUGAUUGCAAGAGAGAAUGUCGCCUUUUGGAAAACCAAUUUCCUGUGGAUGUUGGUUGAAUAAUCUACAAAUUAAUACAGAUUAAAGAGAUUAAACCAAUUCCAUUUCCGUAAAGCAAUUUCAUUUCUCCCUUGGUUAACAUCUAUAAUUAGGAUAAAAUUGGCUGACAUGUUUGUAUCUGAAACAUUAAGUACAGCAGGAUAUUGCUCCUAUUAAUAAGUUUGCUCCAUCUACAUGUACAGCAGGGACAAACAAUACCGCAGUCCUUCAUUUACUUUGCACGUUUCGAAGUAUAUGUGACAAUUAAACAUAUAAGAAUAUUCAAUCUGAUGUCAGAAUAAAAGCCUGAUUUAAUAUUUUUAAAGAAGCCUCAGAAAUGUGGAAGUGCAGUUGAUUUUUGCAUACUUGGAGAAGUGUGUGGAGUGACUUUAAGGCCUAGAUAUGUCCAAGCUUAUUUAAAGUUAUUUCAGGAUGAGUGAAUAAUACAACCGCAUGCAUUAGCAGUUAAAGCAUAAAAAAUAUAUACAAUAUAGAUGCUACGAUUAACUUAUUCAAUGAUGAAUUUAUUGACCAUAAAAGUUUGUACCCAUGACAACAGGUUUUAUGAGGCCAGUAAGCUCAGGGAUUUUGUCAGGAAUUUAGACAAGAAAAUAAGAGCAACAGCAAGAUCAAUUUAUUGUGAUCAUAUUGAACAAUAUAAAUCAACUUUAUCUACUGUAGUGAUUUGGCAUGUCCUCUGGUGUUUGUGUGUGCUAAAUAUAAGUACCUUUCUACCAAAUCGUAACAAUUUUUAAAAGAGCUAUUCCUUUUUUUUCAUGCAAAAUGAAAAGGCUGACAUCCAUUUUAAAAUAACCCUUAUUUAUAACAGGAUGUUGCGGGUUAUUCUGCUGCUGUGUUGAAAAUCCACAGCACAAACAUAUGAGAUACUUUCAGAGACAAUGGUAUGUGCAGGGAAGUUGAUGCAGAGUACAUUUAAGAUAAGAUGUACAAUUCUGCUGACCGACUGAAUAAGCAGACUCUCAGAGACUGACCUCCUUUAGGUACAGCGUUAUGUAACCUGCGACCAAUCAUUAACUAAACACGUGUUCACUCAGAGCGGCGUUAACAACGAUAUAGUGUCGGUAGAACAAUGGUUACUCAAACUCUCUUCAAAGAGAUUGGUGCUUUCUUUCUGUUUUUAAACAUACGAUUUCAAGCAAUCAGGUUUGAAAGUGGAACUCUGUGGAAAAAGGGCACAACCACAUGCACAGAGAGUAGGUGACUACUCCUACUAACUACUACUAACCCUUUUUGCUUCAUUCAUGACUAUAGGAUUAAAUUAAUACCUUAUUUCUAAUAAAUAAUUUAAGUUGUGAACAAGUUGACCUCUGUGCAACUGUCCAGGGCAGACUGGUAGGUUAAGUACAGACAUGAGACUAAACUGUAUUUUAAGCAUUUCCAUGUUGUUUCUGCUGACAUCUGACCUUCUUUGCCCUUUAACGUUAUUGUAUUAGAAAUGUCAACAUAUUUUUAGGAGCUCCCCUCUCUCUUUCUGUAACCUCGGGGUGAUUGUUCCAAAACGACUAACACAUGUCCAUAGAUUCCUUGGCAUUACAAAAGGAUUAAAUAACAAAUACAAUAUUAAUUCUACAUGUUGUGAAACUCCCAACCCUAACAGUGAAUUUAGUCAUGUUGAAAUGCAGCAAUGUGCUUUUGGGGUGAGUGGACAGAUUUUUGAGAAAUGCACUUCUCCGGAUUCUGAACAUGAAGCUCUUGCCUCAUAGGAGGGCCUCACCACACCCAAGCAGAAACGUCUUGCAGCUGAUAAUGUUUUUAUCACUGGGGUCCAAGCCUUGCCGGGGGAAGCUGUUUACGAGGCUGGUCGGACAGGACAGCGUGUAUGUUCUCAGGGUUCAGCAAGAGGCUGGGUUUGUUCAGUUGCCGUAAAGCGAACAGCUCAGGUUUUUACGUGUUGGUUUGUAAUUCUGGGCCGGAUAUAAUCCAUUUGCACAACUGCUGUUUAUGAGCAUUAACAACUUUGUUGCUAAGUAGCGAUUGUUGAGGAUGAGAAAUCCAAUAACCAGCUGGUGUUCAGUCGAAAGUAGUCUCUGCUUUGCUCCUUCGGUGUUGAACACAACACAACGCUCCACUGAACACUGACUGCUGUCAAUUUAUUUGAAUGUCAGGCCAUCAAUUACACUGUAAAGACAUGAAGGCUUUCAGACAAGGGGUCCAGAAGGUUCUCCAGACGGUUACCCUGCCAUGCAAUGCAGCGCUUUGAGGGGGAUGAGCAGAAUGUUACGGGGGGAUCAGGACUUCAGGAAGACUGACAGCCCUGGACCCCUGGUGCAGUCAUGGUUUUAGUGGCCAGAGUUUUUUUUUUUUUACAAGCAAUGGUUAUUAUUGGGAAACCAUCUAUGGCCGAGUGUAUGUUUGGUAUCUUAACUCAUUGUGAUUGAGCAUUGAACUAUCAUGCAUCAUCAGAAUUGUUCAGUAUUCCAUGUGUCUGUUUGUGUGUGUGUGUUCAUUUUUUUUGUGUGUUAGGUACCUUUUGCUUAUAGUCCGGCCUAUUUGCUACAAUCCUACUAAACUCUAGAGUGGUUGAGAAGUUCACAGAAUGCCAGCAGCAGAAAAAAAGUUUUUUCCAUUUCAUUUCCCCGAACAGAUACAAAUAAAACAAUUCGAUGGCAGAUGCACUAGAUUGCAGUAUAAGGCUGACCACUGCUUACAGGGCGGUCAGCAGAUCAUUGGUAAAAUGAGGUGAGAUGAGCUUGAUAACCUGGAUAAACAGGGAUCUGCACAGAGCCACAGAGAGUGGCCUCUGCAAUUAUCAAAAGGCGCUUUGUUUUCAUGGCAACACUGCGUUGCAAAGCGUCUCACCCGGCCACCUUAUCAGCAGUAUCGCACUCCCCCAGGUUCUCCAUUCCUCUGCCAUCCAAUGAUGGCUCUCUGUGUAAAAAAGGCUUUGUCACUGAUGAGGUGGCCUCACUGUAUGUCUCUGUGUUAUUCUGUUGGUACAAACAUACCUUAACCACCACAGCCUUCAUCAAGAACAGAGAGAUUGUUUCCUUUGUGUUUCCCUUUAGUUCUUGAAAUGCAUCCUGAGCUGAAUAACCACGUUAAAGGAAACAGAGGAGCAGUCAGGCCAAAUGACUAUGUAAUUAAAUGGAUUUACUUCCUCCAAAAGGUUUCUCUGCCCAGCAGCAGUAUGUAGUGCUAUAGUAUGCAAUGCUAGUACAUGAAUCAGCUAAUGCAUUAAAAUUGGUUUUGGUUAUUAUGACUUUGGCAUUCUUCCUGGUGCUAACAGAUUUAUGAGCCAAGUCGUAGUCUCCGGGAACAAAGAAACAAAUAGAAGCUGUGUGGUGCCUGUGAUCGCCGGUGAUGGACUGAUUUCUCCUGGUCUCUGUGUGAACGUCUGUCUUCUCCUUUGGCACAUAACCAUCAGACACUAAAAGGAGCAAGACUAUGAGGGACACUAAUACAGGACAAUAAACAUGCCAGCCAGCAGUCGAGUAUAAACACACUGUACCACCAUUGGAUGCCUUGUUAUGGUGUACUGUAACGAUGCUGGAGCACAAGCAAAGAGAUAUAAGCAGGACAGACUCUAACAGGAACAGCUACAUUACAUUAUGCUAUAAUACGACCAUUUGACUGUUUUAGUGAACAGUAACCCUAGUUGAUAAAAUGUGUUUUCAAUAAUAAUACAGCAUAAAAUAAAACAUGAUAUGAGCUGGAUUAACUCAAAACCUCAAAGAUUUAAGUUGAGAGAAAGAAGAAGGAGAGAGAAGUGUGUGUGCCGGAGAGACUCUGUGAGAAUGGAAACAGUUGAAAGUCUGUGCUAAGUAAGCCAUUAUGGGCACCACAAGUGGCAUUUACUCAAAAUGAAUGCAUAAAUAUUUUAAACCCAUUCAGUGGCAACACCACUGUCCACCAGGAAGUGGUGAUGCAUGACUCUUUCUAAUACCAAAUACCCCGCAGAACACACAAGAUGAGAUGGAAAUGUCUUUGGAAAGUCAAAAGCACUUUGGCACAUAAUAGGCUGAGGUUUACUAGAAUAGUUAGUUAAAUUAGGUCUACUGUCUACUGUCUACUCUCUAAACAUGCUACAUUCCUGCACUGCUAAUCACAGGAUGAUUUUGCAAUCAAAGUGUUUGCAAAAGCAAAACAUAAUGACGGGAACAUUAGGGCAGUAGCUUGUGUGUUAUAAUCCAAAGUCACUCCCAAGAAUGAGAUAGGGCUAAAAGGCAUGUGCAAAACAGGUGUUGAUCUGUUGAAAGGUACAGGCUGCAGAGAAAUCAGUCUCCCAAUGAUAGACAAGCUUUGUAUUUCAUUUGCCACCUCCCCCGACCACAUCCCGACCCCCUCACCCACGCUCACCAGAGUAAAACACAAGCCUAAUAAGUUAAAUCACUGCAGUAGCACAUCAGUGUGUGUGUGUGUGUGUUUUGAUGCCAUUUAGAGCAGGGCCCUUCUCACAGCAGCCUUCUUUUGGAGGGCUUUUAGCCAUGCCAUCUGUGGCGCUACUGCUCUGAGAUCAGUUGGCCGUGCCACUGGCUGUACUUCAUCCUCAUAGAACCCACUUCUUCCCUCUGUGUCUCCAGUCCAGACAUCAUACCUUUACAAGGAGAUAAGGUCAGAGGAGGCUGGAAAUAUGACCUGUCGGUCCGCUAAUGACUCAUGGGAAAUCUCCCCGCCGGGCUCUUCAAGGGCCGGAUAUCAAAUCCACCGUCCGCCUGCAUCCAGGUCUUUAAAUGGAGCUCUUGUUGAGUUGAACAAACAGCGCGGCUAGCGGGAUGAAUGCAGGCCGAUCUGAGCUGAUCCUCUGAUUAAAUCAAACAAGCAGCACCAAACUACAACUUUAUUUUCUUCUUCUCGAUUAAUAAAAGCGCACGGCCAAAAUCAAUGUAUCUUUUGGGGUGAAAAGGGGGCUGAAAUCUUUAGAUAUCUGUAAAGCUAGUGAUGUGCCGAUAUAAGGAUGUUUGUUAGCUUCAGCUUUGAGGAAUUUGAAUAGUGAGGAUAUCUGACCGGUGAAUGAAUAUGACAAAUGUGUAAGUCCAUAGUCUGAAUGAUCUGCAGCACUAAACAUUUCCCUAAACCGAAAAUGGAAACUGCUGGACAGGCUGUUCUUUCUAGGGCUUGUUUCUGUUCAGCAAGAUAAAACCCAGAAGAUCAUACACACACACAUACAUAUAUAUAUAUAUAUAUAGAUGUAUAUAUAUAUAUAUAGAUGUAUAUAUAUAUAUAUAUAUAUAUAUAUAUAUAUAUAUAUAUAUAUAUAUAUAUAUAUAUAUGUAUAUAUGUCACUAUCUAGAAUACAAAAACAGGUAGAGAUGUCUUGAAAGAAUAUUCUCGAGAGGAAGUGAACUAGAGGCGUGAUCAAUUCUACAUUCUAUUCAUCGACUGUAUCAUGGGUCAUCUAAACAGCCUAACCAAUGGGAAUGCCACCUUAUGAUAGAAUAGAGAAAUGCAAAAAGCGCUUGUGAACAAUGACUGUGGGUGUUGUCAGCUCAUCUUAGAGACGCUUAUCUGAUGUGAUGCUGGAUUCCUUACAGGGUGUGACUCCGUGCCUAGUGUACAGACCUGCUCCUCAUACAGGAACUUCAACCUCCAACUCCAGUUUGUCAUGGUCAUGUAAUUUCACAGCAGGCACAUGCCAGGGUAGAUUUUGGCCUCAGGUGCCAUGAAAGCUCAUUCAGUGACAUUAUUGAUUUAUUAAAAUAGCCUUUUGUCAUAAACUGUCACAGCAAAACGUUUAUUCCACCUCAGAUUUUCCCAUUGCAGGAAGAAGGAUGAAGAAGGCCAAGUCAUUUGUUUAAACAAUCCAAAUGACAACGGAGAAGGAGAAUCGAAAGGAUGCCGAUAUCCAAGGCCAGACGCACACGUAGCUGUCGUUGAUAGGCCCUGUGAGCCAGCCGACAAGGACAGUGGACAUACGUGCUUAGCCCGGGAGACAGCAGCGGUGGCCGCGUUGCGAGGCUGAUACACAUGAUGCAGACGAUACUAAUGGCAAUAGUGGAGGAAAUUAGGGUUUUUGAGGGUGUGGAGGAGAUACACUUGGGCUGUGUAAUGUGCAGCCACGGCCCUCGCUAUAAAAGAUUAUCAUCGGAAGGGACACGCACUUCAGGUGCACCACAGACAGAGAGGCAUAUUCACGUGAGUCUUGUUUAAAGUGCACAUUGAGGCCUGCUGUGUUGCAUCCCAACUUCAGCAAUGAUGCCCAAAACGGUGCGAACUUUGACCUUGAAGUGCGGUCAUGAAAAAGCUAACAUGGAGUAUUGGAUAAAUUAUCUAUUUAUGAAGCAGAAUCUGAAUGCUGUAUGCUUGACGUUGAUUGAACACAGCAUCGUCAUCAUUACUUUUCACCGGCAGGGAAUGGUAUUUUUUGGGGGAUAUUUUAUGUAACUUUCAUGAAACAUCGGAGGACAAUAUUCAACGACGGAUCUCUUGGUUUUGAAUGUGGAUGAAUUCCUUCUCUGCCUUCUCACAAGGUCAACACAGAGACUAUCUAGAAUUAUGUUAUCAAGGCGGCAACAUCACUUGUACUGAGGAAUACACCUAUUUUUGUGUAACAAGUGAACUAAGUGAAAUACACAAAUCUCUACCUAA